rnacentral:piRNA from 1 species
UGGAUCCAUGUGGAAAGAGAACUC